AUUGAACGCUGGCGGCAGGCCUAACACAUGCAAGUCGAACGAGUGGCGGACGGGUGAGUAAUGUCUGGGAAACUGCCCGCUGGCGGGGGAUAACUACUGGCAACGGUAGCUAAUACCGCAUACCAUCGGAUGUUCCCAGAUGGGGUUAGCUAGUAGGUGGGGUAACGGCUCACCUAGGGGACGAUCCCUAGCUGGUCUGAGAGGAUGACCAGCAACACUGGAACUGAGACACGGUCCAGACUCCUACGGAAGGCAGCAGUGGGGAAUAUUGGACAAUGGGCGCAAGCCUGAUGCAGACAUGCCGCGUGUAUGAAGAAGGCUUUCGGGUUGUAAAGUACUGUCAGCGGGGAGGCGUUACUCGCAGAGGAAGCACCGGCUAACUACGUGCCAGCAGCCGCGGUAAUAC
rnacentral:rRNA from 1 species